GAUGAACGCUGGCGGCGUGCCUAGUACAUGCAAGUCGAGCGAACGGACGAGAAGCUUGCUUCUCUGAUGUUAGCGGCGGACGGGUGAGUAACACGUGGAUAACCUACCUAUAAGACUGGGAUAACUUCGGGAAACCGUAGCUAAUACCGGAUAAUAUUUUGAACCGCAUGGUUCAAAAGUGAAAGACGGUCUUGCUGUCACUUAUAGAUGGAUCCGCGCUGCAUUAGCUAGUUGGUAAGGUAACGGCUUACCAAGGCAACGAUGCAUAGCCGACCUGAGAGGGUGAUCGGCCACACUGGAACUGAGACACGGUCCAGACUCCUACGGGAGGCAGCAGUAGGGAAUCUUCCGCAAUGGGCGAAAGCCUGACGGAGCAACGCCGCGUGAGUGAUGAAGGUCUUCGGAUCGUAAAGCGCUGUUAUUAGGGAAGAACAUAUGUGUAAGUAACUGUGCACAUCUUGACGGUACCUAAUCAGAAAGCCACGGCUAACUACGUG
rnacentral:rRNA from 1 species